GGGUCAAGCAGUGCUACGGCUGUUGAAGAAAUUGGCAUCCCAUCAGGCUUUGAGGCUGACCUUGAGAGUUUCCCACAGAUGGACAUUCUAAAGCGAAUAGAGACACAAAACAAGAAAGUUAUCCUUUAUUUUGACCAGAUUGGAACAACACCUGUUUGCCUAAACUUCCGCGCUGUGAGAACUGGACUGAUUGCUAAGUCCCAA
rnacentral:sRNA from 1 species